CUUAGCCUGGGCCAGGACUGAGUCACCACCCAGUUUGGGAUCCCAGUGAUGUCAAUGGCUGUCCCUCCUGAGCAGUGCUUUCAAACGUUGCUUGUUGACCCCUCUAGCAGGUCUCACAGGGACAAAGCACCUAGGUAGGAUCACCUAGAAAUAGUCCUAUCUUCUGGGAAGGGCAGAGGCUCACCCAGGGGCCUCCAGCCCAGCCCUAGACUGCAGAACAUUUCCAUUCAGCACCAUCAGUGAGGAGACCAGGUUCUGAGAGGCUCAGCCAUGUGGCUAAGUGACACAGCUGGCGAGUGGCUGAUCAGGAUUCGAAGCAGAUCUGCCCACUUUCUAAGACUGUGGGAAUCCCUCCCUGCCUUGCUGAUUCCAAAGAAAAUGUCUGUUAUUCGUCGUCUCACUUUCCAAAGACCAGGACAGAAGGCAUUUUACUAAAAUGUUUAUAUGUGGCUCAUCCAUUCAUCAAGAACCUACUGUGCACUAUUCUAAAUGUUGAGGAUUCAGCAGUGAACACAUCAAGUUUAAAGCAUGGAGGAGGAGGAUUCCAAGCAGGGGAACAGCUUGUGCUAAGGCCCUGAGGCAGGCGUACACCUGUCCUGUUCCAAGAACAGCAAGGAAGCCAGUGAGCAGUGAAUGAGGAGCAUUGGGCUUCUCAACAGAAAUGCCAGCAUCUAAAAUUCUGAGGGAAGUCAUUUCCAGCCUGAAUUUUACACGCAGGCAAUUUUACACCCAGCGAGAUACAGUCUAGCUCUUCAGAAUGUAUUUCCCGGAAGUGGUCCAGAGGAGAAGGUAAAUUUUAGGGUUAGGAAAAAGGAGGCCACUAAGACAUAAACCUUUUAGAAGUUAAAGAUAUCUGCAGUGAACUUGAAGGGACACAGUCUCAGUAAAGAGCGACAGGGAAUGACAGGCUGGGGGAGGCUGUUACGCAGUUUCCCGUCUCCUCGUGGGAAGCUGGUUGCACUGUGUGUUCCUAGGGUUAUCUUCCUGCACUGCUCCUUGGUUGUGAGAAUGGUGAAAUGGAUGGAACACUCGCUGUGUUUGCACAUACUGGAAACCCUUUAUGACAAAGGGUUUAGGGAUGCAGCAGUGAUAAACACCCAGAAACCAAAGUAAAUUAUGUUUAAAAGAGCCAAAAGUAAAAAGUUAUAGGAGAAAGGAAAUGGAAUCAUUGUGUUAUAUGGCUUAGUUGAGAUCAGUGUCUAAAUAGUCAUAAUAAUAUAGAUACUAAGUAUCAAUCUAACCUCAAAGAGUAACAUAACCAUGUUUGGAGGAAGGAGAAUUGUGUAUAUAGUGUUUGUGUGCGUGAUGGGAGUGCUGAAGAAAUACAUCUAUUAGCCAAUGCCUAAAACUGAAAAUAGGAGGAAAGCGGUGUUGGAGGUAUGCUUUCCAUGGGCAGGAAAACACCAAAAAUACCAACUGAAUUGGAACUGCUCACUUAUUGGGAGUUGGAAAGGAGGAGUUGUGGGGAACUGCAUGUUUUUGUUAAAAAAAAACAAAAAAGCUCUAGAAAUAUUUGGCUUC